rnacentral:rRNA from 1 species
UACAGAGGGUGCAAGCGUUAUUCGGAGUUACUGGGCGUAAAGAGCGUGUAGGCUGUUCGAUAAGUUUGGUGUGAAAGCCCUGGACUCAAUCCAGGAAGGGCAUCGAAUACUGUCGGACUAGAGUGUAGGAGGGGAGAGCGGAAUUCCUGGUGUAGAGGUGAAAUUCGUAGAUAUCAGGAGGAACAACAGUGGCGAAGGCGGCUCUCUGGACUAUAACUGACGCUGAGGCGCGAAAGCGUGGGGAGCAAACAGG